rnacentral:rRNA from 1 species
GUGAAGUNGACCGCCUGGGGAGUACGGUCGCAAGAUUAAAACUCAAAGGAAUUGACGGGGACCCGCACAANCCGGUGGAUGAUGUGGAUUAAUUCGAUGCAACGCGAAAAACCUUACCUACCCUUGACAUGGUUCAGGACCCUGCUGAAAGGUGGGGGUGCCCGAAAGGGAACUGAUACACAGGUGCUGCAUGGCUGUCGUCAGCUCGUGUCGUGAGAUGUUGGGUUAAGUCCCGCAACGAGCGCAACCCUUGUCCCUAGUUGUCUACGCAAGAGCACUCUAGGGAGACUGCCGGUGACAAACCGGAGGAAGGUGGGGAUGACGUCAAGUCCUCAUGGCCCUUAUGGGUAGGGCUUCACACGUCAUACAAUGGUCGGAACAGAGGGUCGCCAACCCGCCGAGGGGGAGCCAAUCCCAGAAAACCGAUCGUAGUCCGGAUCGCACUCUGCAACUCGAGUGCGUGAAGCUGGAAUCGCUAGUAAUCGCGGAUCAGCAU